UACGGGGGGGGCAAGCGUUGUUCGGAAUUACUGGGCGUAAAGGGCUCGUAGGUGGCCAACUAAGUCAGACGUGAAAUCCCUCGGCUUAACCGGGGAGCUGCGUCUGAUACUGGAUGGCUUGAGUUUGGGAGAGGGAUGCGGAAUUCCAGGUGUAGCGGUGAAAUGCGUAGAUAUCUGGAGGAACACCGGUGGCGAAGGCGGCAUCCUGGACCAACACUGACACUGAGGAGCGAAAGCCAGGGGAGCAAACGGG
rnacentral:rRNA from 1 species